CCUACGGGGGGCAGCAGUGGGGAAUAGUGGACAAUGGGGGGAACCCUGAUCCAGCGACGCCGCGUGAGUGAAGAAGUAUUUCGGUAUGUAAAGCUCUAGCAGCAGGGAAGAAAGAAAUGACGGUACCGGACUAAGAAGCGACGGCUAACUACGGGCCAGCAGCCGCGGUAAUACGUAGGGGGCAAGCGUUAUCCGGAUUUACUGGGUGUAAAGGGAGCGUAGACGGCGAGGCAAGUCUGAAGGGAAAGGCGGGGGCCCAACCCCCGGACUGCUUGGGAAACUGUCUGGCUUGCGUGCAGGUGAGGUCAGUGGAAUUCCUAGUGUAGCGGUGACAUGCGUAGAUCUUAGGCGG
rnacentral:rRNA from 1 species